UACGUAGGGUGCAAGCGUUGUCCGGAAUUAUUGGGCGUAAAGAGCUCGUAGGCGGUCUGUCGCGUCGGCUGUGAAAUCCCGAGGCUCAACCUCGGGUCUGCAGUCGAUACGGGCAAACUAGAGUAUUGCAGGGGAGACUGGAAUUCCUGGUGUAGCGGUGGAAUGCGCAGAUAUCAGGAGGAACACCGGUGGCGAAGGCGGGUCUCUGGGCCGAUACUGACGCUGAGGAGCGAAAGCGUGGGGAGCAAACAGG
rnacentral:rRNA from 1 species